rnacentral:lncRNA from 1 species
GCAUGUGAAGAACAUUAGGACUGAAAAGGAUGAGAGUGAUAUCAGGAAGAUUGUGUCUUCAAAAGUAAAGUGCUACAGGGGACACAAAGAAGGCUGUCAAGGGGCUCUCAGGCCACAGCAGGAUGGAAUCAGGAGGCAGACACAAAGAAGGUCCUGGACAAAUGGAGACGAUACUUGUACUGCUACCGGUAGUUUGAUGAACUAGAGUCCCAGUGCCAGCAGUACCACUUUCUAGCUGUGACCUCUUAGAGAAGUCAGCCUUUCUAAGCUCAAUUUUACUUCUGAAAAAUGAGGUAAUAAUAAGUCUGUCAUUGAAUCAUUGUGAAGUUCAAGAUAUGUGGUUGAAAGGAGGAAGAGGUAAAGGAAUCCACCACAGCCUGUGAAACAAGAAAGGGAUCUAUCCCUACAGGUUCUGAAAAAUUCCUGGGAGAUAGAAAGCAGAUGGGAUCAGACUAUAGAAACAUAAGGGCAGGAAAAUACCACAGCCCCCAACAUAGACAAUAGAAAACUACUGUGGAAGUAAUACAAAUUCCAGAAAUAUUUAAAGCUCAGACUCAACAAAUAGAGAGAUCAGGAGGGGCUUUGGGGCAACCAUAAGGUUAAUUAAUAAAAACUUAGUAUUUGGAACAGUUGAGCCCACUAGGUCCCUUUCCCUCCCCACACCUACUGCGCAGAGAGCAUGGGUGAUGCUUAGAUGUGGGAUAAGACCUCCAGAGGGGAGAGACAACCCAGAGAGGCAGAACAGAGCUGGAAGUCACCCAUACAUCUAAGGAAAAAAGAAAGAAAAAAGAAGGUGCCUGAUUUGUGUAUUUGCUGCCGGAAUGAACUCUGAGCACAGCUGUCUCGAGCAGAAGGAGUCCUGACCCAGGAAACUCAGAUGGACAGGCUCUAGAAGCAAUUAUGAACACAGCUCCUGCCCAGAAGUUCUGCAGAUGUAUUAUAUAUGCAGGCCCCCAGAUUUUCAGCCAGCCCUUCAAUAACUCAUCUUGGGCACUGGGCACUGUUUUAGAACAAUUGAGAAGUUGCAGCAGUGGCAGACCUCGCAGGACCAUAGGAGAACCCAGAACCAGUGGAACUUGCUACUUAACUACUCUAAGUUGUGAGCUGCCAACUAUUACCAAGGCCACCUGUUUGCAUGAAUUGUGUUCAUAAAGUCAAACAUGUUGAAGAAGAUAGGAGGGAAAUAUUCUUGCUAUGGACUUCAUUGUGC